CCUACGGGUGACAGCAGUGGGGAAUAUUGGUCAAUGGACGAGAGUCUGAACCAGCCAAGUAGCGUGAAGGAUGACUGCCCUAUGGGUUGUAAACUUCUUUUAUAUGGGAAUAAAAUGUUCCACGUGUGGGAUUUUGUAUGUACCAUAUGCAUAAGGAUCGGCUAACUCCGUGCCAGCAGCCGCGGUAAUACGGAGGGUCCGAGCGUUAUCCGGAUUUAUUGGGGUUAAAGGGAGCGUAGGUGGAUUGUUAAGUCAGUUGUGAAAGUUUGCGGCUCAACCGUAAAACUGCAGUUGAAACUGGCAGUCUUGAGUACAGUAGAGGUGGGCGGAAUUCGUGGUGUAGCGGUGAAAUGCUUAGAUAUUACGAAGAACACCGAUUGCGAAGGCAGCUCACUGGACUGCAACUGACACUGAGGCUCGAAAGUGUGGGUAGCAAACAGGAUUAGAUACCCCUGUAGUC
rnacentral:rRNA from 1 species